rnacentral:lncRNA from 1 species
UAAAUUCUAAGUGAAAUGCACAGGCUUUUAUCAGUGUGCAGUGAUUAUCUCUGACCUGAAGAAGUAAUGAAGCAAUCAAUGUUUUAGAAGAACGAUAAAUUCUUUGUUCGAGUCAAAAUACUAUAUUAAUGGAUCAUCAAUUGAAGGAUAACAUUAGAAGUAAGUUGAGACAAUGUUUUUGAAGAGUAAUAAAAUACUUAUUUGAGUAAUACUAUAUUGAUGGAUCAAUAAUAGAAUGAAGAACUGGUGCAGUAGUAAUUUGAAGCAAUGCUUCAGAAGAGUGAUAAAUUAUUUAUUCAAGUCAAGUUACUAAAUUUAUGGCUCAUUAAUUGAAUAAAAAACUAGUUGUUGAACGCGUAAACUGAUGUCAACAACAUAAUCAUGAAUAGCUUGCAACUUUUCUUAAUUCUGUGCAUGCAUUUAUACCACAAAUAACGUUGCCAAGUUGAACAAGGAAUGAAAUGAAUGAUAUCAAACCCCCACAUGCCUACAAUUUUAACACCAAUUGACCUACUCAAUUUAUGUUCCUGUCAACAACAAACGCAAAACCUUAACUACUAUAACACCCCUAAGGACAAACAAAUUGAAAUGCCUUUCUUCAAGCAUCAUCACUGUCAUCUUCCUUCACUUAGCUCAGAAAACAAAAUCAAAAUCUACAGAACAUCCAUGCAGCAAAUUUCAGGGCUAUUCACAAAAUUUUCAACUUCUUUUUCAUGUAUAUAAGCAUUUGCUGUUUCAUCAAAAGCUACCAUUGACAGUUGAUCUUAGUUGGCACAAGAUAACUUUUAGCUUGUGAAGAAGUUUAUUUCAUCUUUUCUUCUUAUUUUUCUCUUAGAAGUGUUUACAGAAAAUUGUGUCCCUAAGAUCCUAGCUAGUAAACUUCUUCACAACCUAAAACUAACUAAUAAAUAAGUUAAAAAUCUAAUUUUGGAUUAGGUAAUACUAGAGAAAUUAUUCAAAUUAACUUAUCGGUAAACAAACAUUAACUAAAAGCUGAAAUUUAUUUGAUUUUUCUUUCAUAUUUUCUUCUUCUAAAAAUACUUCUGACAAAGUUUAUCAAACAUACUCUUAAUAUUUGAAUUAGAAGAAUAAUUAAUAUGAACAAUCUACAUGGCAAAGGAGAUUACCGUGUAUUAGUAUGAGAGCUCUUCCCACGAGGUAAAUCCAGCGAGACAAAUCUCAUAGUUGCUGAAUAUUUUGGAUCCUCUUAAUGCUGUGCUGAUGGGAUGUGACUUGAAUACUGUGCUUUAGAGAGAAUAAUAUAUCAUGAAGUGCUCUUCACUUCAUCAAAUCAUGUCAUGUACACCCAGAUCAGUAAUCAGUACAGUCAGUAAUUCCACAAUGAAGUUUAUCAAGAUCGUUCUUCACAAAAAUUGAACAAAUCCAGGGGGUGAACCGUGGUUUACAAGUUUAUUGAGAAUGAACAUUUGUGACUACACAUGAACAAGAAAAACAAUGUCACAAAAUUAUCCACACACAAAUCAAUGAUCUCUUAUGCACACAUUAAUUCUAAUGGAAAUAGUUAUGAUACAAAACAUUCGGGGAGUUUUAAUGUGCCAUCUUCUGCACUAUGUCUCACGGCUUAACAAU